rnacentral:tRNA from 1 species
GGCGCCGUUAGCUCAGUUGGUUAGAGCAGCUGACUCUUAAUCAGCGGGUCCGGGGUUCGAG